rnacentral:rRNA from 1 species
AUGAACGCUAGCUACAGGCUUAACACAUGCAAGUCGAGGGGCAGCAUGGUCUUAGCUUGCUAAGGCCGAUGGCGACCGGCGCACGGGUGAGUAACACGUAUCCAACCUGCCGUCUACUCUUGGACAGCCUUCUGAAAGGAAGAUUAAUACAAGAUGGCAUCAUGAGUCCACAUGUUCACAUGAUUAAAGGUAUUCCGGUAGACGAUGGGGAUGCGUUCCAUUAGAUAGUAGGCGGGGUAACGGCCCACCUAGUCUUCGAUGGAUAGGGGUUCUGAGAGGAAGGUCCCCCACAUUGGAACUGAGACACGGUCCAAACUCCUACGGGAGGCAGCAGUGAGGAAUAUUGGUCAAUGGGCGAGAGCCUGAACCAGCCAAGUAGCGUGAAGGAUGACUGCCCUAUGGGUUGUAAACUUCUUUUAUAAAGGAAUAAAGUCGGGUAUGCAUACCCGUUUGCAUGUACUUUAUGAAUAAGGAUCGGCUAACUCCGUGCCAGCAGCCGCGGUAAUACGGAGGAUCCGAGCGUUAUCCGGAUUUAUUGGGUUUAAAGGGAGCGUAGAUGGAUGUUUAAGUCAGUUGUGAAAGUUUGCGGCUCAACCGUAAAAUUGCAGUUGAUACUGGAUAUCUUGAGUGCAGUUGAGGCAGGCGGAAUUCGUGGUGUAGCGGUGAAAUGCUUAGAUAUCACGAAGAACUCCGAUUGCGAAGGCAGCCUGCUAAGCUGCAACUGACAUUGAGGCUCGAAAGUGUGGGUAUCAAACAGGAUUAGAUACCCUGGUAGUCCACACGGUAAACGAUGAAUACUCGCUGUUUGCGAUAUACGGCAAGCGGCCAAGCGAAAGCGUUAAGUAUUCCACCUGGGGAGUACGCCGGCAACGGUGAAACUCAAAGGAAUUGACGGGGGCCCGCACAAGCGGAGGAACAUGUGGUUUAAUUCGAUGAUACGCGAGGAACCUUACCCGGGCUUGAAAGUUAGUGACGGAUGCCGAAAGGUGUCUUCCCUUCGGGGCACGAAACUAGGUGCUGCAUGGUUGUCGUCAGCUCGUGCCGUGAGGUGUCGGCUUAAGUGCCAUAACGAGCGCAACCCUUGUUGUCAGUUACUAACAGGUUCCGCUGAGGACUCUGACAAGACUGCCAUCGUAAGAUGUGAGGAAGGUGGGGAUGACGUCAAAUCAGCACGGCCCUUACGUCCGGGGCUACACACGUGUUACAAUGGGGGGGUACAGAGGGCCGCUACCACGCGAGUGGAUGCCAAUCCCAAAAACCUCUCUCAGUUCGGACUGGAGUCUGCAACCCGACUCCACGAAGCUGGAUUCGCUAGUAAUCGCGCAUCAGCCACGGCGCGGUGAAUACGUUCCCGGGCCUUGUACACACCGCCCGUCAAGCCAUGGGAGCCGGGGGUACCUGAAGUGCGUAACCGCGAGGAGCGCCCUAGGGUAAAACUGGUGACUGGGGCU